GCCAGUCUCUGCGCUCAUCCCUUCGGUCCCCAAGCCCAUGGGCAGAAUGGGGCAUGGAGGAAAAAGAAAGCCAGGUGGAGGAAGAUUUAGUAGUUUCCAGUUGGCCUUUCCCACUAUAAUAGAUCGUACCCUUCAGACCUACGGAAAAGAGCAAUCAUAGAGGUCUUCAAGGAUGCUGGAGCUCCCCUCAUAAAUUUAUUUUUCACAGUCGUGGUGAAAGGUCUCUACUACCAUGCUGGAAAAAAGAGGUGCCACAUCUAAGUUUUUAGUGGAUAUCUUUUACCAAAUAAGGAAGUUGUUUUCUGUAUCUAUUUUGCUAAAGCUUUUUCUUAUGAAAGAGUGUUAAAUUGUACACAAUAUUAAUGUAAUGAAUUCCAUUUUGAUGUUAGCAUAUCCUUGA